rnacentral:rRNA from 1 species
CUACGGGGGGCAGCAGUGAGGAAUAUUGCACAAUGGGGGGAACCCUGAUGCAGCAACGCCGCGUGGAGGAUGACGCAUUUCGGUGUGUAAACUCCUUUUAUAUGUCAAGAAAAUGACGGUAGCAUAUGAAUAAGCACCGGCUAACUCCGUGCCAGCAGCCGCGGUAAUACGGAGGGUGCAAGCGUUACUCGGAAUCACUGGGCGUAAAGGACGCGUAGGCAGGUUGGAAAGUCAGGUGUGAAAUCCUACAGCUUAACUGUAGAACUGCACUUGAAACUUCUAAUCUAGAGUAUGGGAGGGGGAGAUGGAAUUUGUGGUGUAGAGGUAAAAUCCGUAGAUAUCACUAGGAAUACCUAAAGCGAAGGCGAUCUCCUGGAACAUUACUGACGCUAAGGCGUGAAAGCGUGGGGAGCAAACAGGAUUAGAUACCCCCGUAGUC